GAGUGGCGAACGGGUGAGUAAUGUAUCGGAACGUACCUUUCAGUGGGGGAUAACGUAGCGAAAGUUACGCUAAUACCGCAUAUUCUGUGAGCAGGAAAGCAGGGGAUCGCAAGACCUUGCGCUGAUUGAGCGGCCGAUAUCAGAUUAGCUAGUUGGUGAGGUAAAGGCUCACCAAGGCGACGAUCUGUAGCGGGUCUGAGAGGAUGAUCCGCCACACUGGAACUGAGACACGGUCCAGACUCCUACGGGAGGCAGCAGUGGGGAAUUUUGGACAAUGGGGGCAACCCUGAUCCAGCCAUGCCGCGUGAGUGAAGAAGGCCUUCGGGUUGUAAAGCUCUUUCGGCCGGGAAGAAAUCGUAUGGGUUAAUACCCUGUGCGGAUGACGGUACCGGCAUAAGAAGCACCGGCUAACUACGUGCCAGCAGCCGCGGUAAUACGUAGGGUGCGAGCGUUAAUCGGAAUUACUGGGCGUAAAGCGUGCGCAGGCGGUUUUGUAAGACAGGCGUGAAAUCCCCGGGCUCAACCUGGGAACUGCGCUUGUGACUGCAAGGCUAGAGUAUGGCAGAGGGGGGUGGAAUUCCACGUGUAGCAGUGAAAUGCGUAGAGAUGUGGAGGAACACCAAUGGCGAAGGCAGCCCCCUGGGCCAAUACUGACGCUCAUGCACGAAAGCGUGGGUAGCAAACAGGUUAGAUACCCUGGUAGUCCACGCCCUAAACGAUGUCAACUAGGUGUUGGGUGGGUAAAACCAUUUAGUACCGGAGCUAACGCGUGAAGUUGACCGCCUGGGGAGUACGGCCGCAAGGUUAAAACUCAAAGGAAUUGACGGGGACCCGCACAAGCGGUGGAUGAUGUGGAUUAAUUCGAUGCAACGCGAAAAACCUUACCUACCCUUGACAUGUCCAGGAGCCUGAAGAGAUUUGGGUGUGCCCGAAAGGGAACUGGAACACAGGUGCUGCAUGGCUGUCGUCAGCUCGUGUCGUGAGAUGUUGGGUUAAGUCCCGCAACGAGCGCAACCCUUGUCGUUAAUUGCCAUCAUUUAGUUGGGCACUUUAACGAGACUGCCGGUGACAAACCGGAGGAAGGUGGGGAUGACGUCAAGUCCUCAUGGCCCUUAUGGGUAGGGCUUCACACGUCAUACAAUGGUCGGUACAAAGGGUUGCCAACCCGCGAGGGGGAGCCAAUCCCAGAAAGCCGAUCGUAGUCCGGAUUGCAGGCUGCAACUCGCCUGCAUGAAGUCGGAAUCGCUAGUAAUCGUGGAUCAGCAUGUCACGGUGAAUACGUUCCCGGGUCUUGUACACACCGCCCGUCACACCAUGGGAGCGGGUUCCGCCAGAAGUAGGUAGCCUAACCGCAAGGGGGGCGCUUACCACGGCGGGGUUCGUGACUGGGGUGAAGUCGUAACAAGGUA
rnacentral:rRNA from 1 species